rnacentral:rRNA from 1 species
AGCUCCAAUAGCGUAUAUUAAAGUUGUUGCAGUUAAAAAGCUCGUAGUUGGAUUUCUGGAUGGAGCAAUCGGUCCGCCGCUUAUUGUGGCGUGUACUUGUAUUCGACUCUGUUCAUCCUUGAGGGGAAUGGCAUUACGGCAUUAAGUUGUCGUGGCAGGGAACCUCAUCUUUUACUGUGAAAAAAUUAGAGUGUUUAAAGCAGGCAUUUUGCUGUGAAUACAUUAGCAUGGAAUAAUAACAUAGGACUUUGGUUCUAUUUUGUUGGUUGGAGGCCAAGGUAAUGAUUAAUAGGGAUAGUUGGGGGUAUUCAUAUUUGAUUGUCAGAGGUGAAAUUCUUGGAUUUAUGAAAGAUGAACUCAUGCGAAAGCAUUUACCAAGGAUGUUUUCA